CCCUCUAUGGGUCCCUCUGUGGGUCACUGUGUGGGUCAAUGUGUGUCCCUCUAUGGGUCAAUGUGUGUCCCUCUCUGGGUCCCUCUAUGGGUCAAUGUGUGGCCCUCUAUUGGUCCCCCUAUGGGUUCAAUGUGUGGGUCAGUGUGUGGGUCAAUAUGUGUCCCUCUAUGGGUCCCCAUAUGGGUCGAUGUGUGGGUCAAUGUGUGUCCCUCUAUGGGUCCCCCUAUGGUCCCCUAUGGGUCAAUGUGGGUCCCUCUAUGGAUCCGCCUAUGGGUCCCUCUCUGGUCCCCCUAUGGGUCCCCCUAUGGGUCAAUGUGUCCCUCUAUGGGUCCCCCUAUGGGGCAACGUAUGGGUCAGUGUGUGGGUCAAUGCGGGUCUCUCUAUGGUCCCUCUAUGGGUCCCCCUAUGGGUCAAUGUGUGUCCCUCUAUGGGUCCUCCUAUGGGUGUCCCUCUCUGGUCCCUCUAUGUGUCCCCCUAUGGGUCAGUGUGUGGGUCAGUGUGUGGGUCCCUCUAUGGGUCACUGUGUGGGUCAAUGUGUGUCCCUCUAUGGGUCCCUCUAUGUGUCCCCCUAUGGGGCAAUGUGUGUCCCUCUAUGGGUCCCCCUAUGGGUCAGUGUGUAGGUCAGUGUGUGGGUCCCUCUAUGGGUCACUGUGUGGGUCAAUGUGUGUCCCUCUAUGGGUCAAUGUGUGUCCCUCUCUGGGUCCCCCUAUGGGUCCCUCUAUGUGUCCCCCUAUGGGGGCAAUGUGUGUCCCUCUAUGGGUCCCCCUAUGGGUCAAUGUGUGUCCCCCUACGGGCCCCCCUAUGGGUCAGUGUGUGUCCCUCUAUGGGUCCCUCUAUGGGUCCCUCUAUGGGUCAGUGUGUGGGUCAUGUGUGGGUCCCCCUAUGAGUCAGUGUGUGUCCCUCUAUGGGUCCCCCUAUGGGUCCCCCUAUGGGUCAAUGUGUGUCCCUCUAUGGGUCCCCCUAUGGUCAGUGUGUGGGUCAGUGUGUGUCCCUCUAUGGGUCCCUCUAUGUGUCCCCCUAUGGGUCAAU
ensembl:lncRNA